UGUGGUGUCGUUACAAUGACAGAGCGAGACGGGCUGCGCAGGGAAAAGCGAGCUGGGCUCUGCUCCGUGGUGACUCCCCCACUCCAGUGGGUCUUGCAGGAGUGGUUUUGACUUGCCUGCCCCAUGGAAGGGAUGUCAUGUCACAGUGAGUGACUUCCAUAAUAGCUACUGGUCUUGGCUGUCUUGGCAGAGUGGCCAAAGACUGAAGGCACCACGGGGAAUGAGCUCAGGGCUUGCUCUAGAAGAGACCUCUUUAGUUAAGGAGUUAAGCUGGUCACUCUGAACUGUCCUCUCCAGGAAGCAGCCUCUGACAUGGCAAAUAACACACCAGAAAAUUGAAAUGAAGGCAGAGAGUUUCAAACCACCUUGAGAACAGCUUCCAAGGACCACCUUAGCCUGAGCCACAGUGAGCAGCAGGAGAAGUGGGAUCCUAUAACCUCUUAGGUGCUUUGGACAAAUUACCUCUAAAUGUUAAAGCCCAAUUACGUAAGUGCUUAAG